rnacentral:rRNA from 1 species
UACGUAGGGUGCAAGCGUUGUCCGGAAUUAUUGGGCGUAAAGAGCUCGUAGGCGGUCUGUUGCGUCGGCUGUGAAAACCCGGGGCUCAACUCCGGGCCUGCAGCCGAUACGGGCAGACUAGAGUUCGGCAGGGGAGACUGGAAUUCCUGGUGUAGCGGUGAAAUGCGCAGAUAUCGGAAGGAACACCAGUGGCGAAAGCGGACUUCCUGGUCCAGCACCGACGUUCAGGCACGAAAGCGUGGGGAGCAAACAGG